UGAUCAUCAACAUUUUUAAUAAGGUAGAAAGAAAAGCACUUUCCAAACUUACCUUUAGCACAGCCAAAUCAUGAACUAAAUAUAAAUAUUUACACUAGGACAAGGAAUUAAUAACGUGAGCGUGCAAACAAAAAUACUUGCUAGAAAACGCACACAGCAAAAAUAAGAAAACCCUCCUAAGUUCAAAGCAAUCAAAUCAACUCGUUAGCCCCCGGGAAGGCCGUUAUUUAUCACCACGUUACGCCCGAAACAGUCAGGAUUAGAGAGGAGAAAAACCGAUCGUGACUCUGAUCUAUUUAAGAGACCGUUCACUGCGUAAGAAAACACCUCGGAUCGCAGGCGAAAGCCUUCCUAUCUGUGACCCUGCACAGGAAAUGCCACAUAAAACCUAAAAUUGCCAAGGAAGGUUACAAAAUCUCCUGCUUUACAUCCUAUUGCGAAGAGUCGCUACGAGAACCGAACUACUUCUGCAUUUUCCAGAAAUUAAGUAGAGUGGGUGUUACGAGCGUUUAUUCCCCCCCGCCGUGUACCUUCCAAAUGCAUCUUAAAGUAACACACGUACCAAAGGAGAAAAAAAAAAAAAACAACCCCACAGCAGCCCUUAAGUCUGAAAUGUAAAUGUAAUUCCUUAUAUAGACUGCAGCAGUUGGUCACACACGCACGGAGAGCGGAGCGGGGGCCCCCAGCCAAACCGUUACCACCCAUUAUUAUACAAACAGUGCUCGGCCGGAACCUUGUUGCCAGGGGAGACGGGUGCUUUACGGCAGGACGUUUGAACCGCGGCGGGGGAAAAGUUGCGGCCGCAGGUCUGAUCAAGAAACGAACAGCUGGACGAAAGUGAUGCCGUUCCCACCAUAUGUGAAAUCUGUCGUUCUUGGGCUUUCCUUAAUCAUACUUCCUGCUUUUACAAAGAGGAGAAGAGGUAUAACAUUUUAUGCCCUAAAAAAUAAAAAGAGAAGGGAGCUAUUUUUUACAGAUAAUGAAUAAAGAACUUAAUUUAGACUUAAUAAACAUGUUUAAUGUAUUACCGAUGAAAACAUCAUCAAACACUCGUACUAUUGAUUUACUCUUGCCUUUCAGUUUUCACUUCAGGCAAUAAAAUAAUUUAUUAAGCUUC